UUUGGUGACUAUGGCAAAGAGGUCACACCUGUUCCCAUGCCGAACACAGAAGUUAAGCUCUUUAGCGCUGAUGGUAGUCGGACUGACGUUCCGCGAGAGUAGUACGUUGCCAAGC
rfam:Staphylococcus sp. HGB0015 genomic scaffold aczIz-supercont1.2, whole genome shotgun sequence.